UGCAAGCGAGGCUCAACCAAUAGAAGUACAGGCCCUGUCAUCCCACCGGAUGUGUUGACUGGGUACCCAGGCGCAUCCUGCUCUGUUUAGCCUUCGGCUUGUUUCUAGGGAGCGACUCCCGGGUGCGAGCUGAAGGGUGAUGGUGCCCCCUAGGAUCAUGGCGAUGCCCCUGCUAAUCCCGCUCUCCCUGUGGGUAUGGAGGGGGCAGGCUCAGACGGACAGUGCAUCCCCGGAGGAGAGCCACAGAGCCUAUACGGUGUUACUCAAACAGAACCUGGUUCUGUUGGGCAGCAUCCUCUGCAUCCUGUUUAUUGCUAUGAUCCUGCUGGCUGUGUGUGUGUACAAACCUGUCAGGCGGCGAUAAUGAGAGCGGCACCCAGGCCUGUUCCAGAGCACUGGCAUCAGGAUACCUGGAAGUCUCCUGGAAUAACACUGCUUGAACUGUCAUAUAACUGCUAAUAUAGCUCCUGUCAUUUUCUCUUCAUUUCAAUUUUCCUUGGACAUUCAUUGCCUGUGUUAUAGUCGAUUGGCUCAGUAUAAAAGCUUGUACACUUGUACAUUCAUUUGAACAACUACUUGGGGAACAGUCUGAGCAGCAACUUAACCUUCAUUCAGAAUGCAGCAAGUUAUCCUUAUACCUUCAUUAUUCUGCUAUACACCCUUGCCCUGUCUGUGCCAGUCCAAAUUGUAGGAUGCAGAAUAUGGGAGUCAGUGGGUCUGUUCACACUACUGCAGCAUCCAGUGGAAAUAUAGCAUCUUGCAAGUUUGAUCACAUCUGACCAGUCGUAUACCGGAGAGGGUAUUGCUACUUAGAAUUUUGAAAGUCCACAAGUAACAAGUUGUAAUGCCUUUAGAAACAUCCAAUUUCCCAAACCUAAUCAUUCAGUCCUAGAAAAUGAGCAGCAUCGAGAAACUACUUUUGCCUCUGCCACACUAGCGACUUGUAGCAGGUCCACAUAGAAUUUAUUGUAACCUGCUACAGGUUGCUUGUGUGGUGUACAUAGGUCUUUUGCAUAGGGACAUAAUGCCUGCAAUAUAACGUAUAACAGUCUAGUACUAAUACCUCAUAGUCGCAUAUUCUACAUUUACUGAAGACCCAAAUCCUGCAAUUGUUUUUGCCAUACAAAAGCAUAUUCCUUCACUUAUUUCCUGUCUGUUAUGAUUCAAGUUUGCAGUACAGUGACGCAAAGGUUUUUAACUAGUUUAUGGAGUUAACAAAGAUGAAUGUAGUGCUGUACUGAAGCCUGUGUUGUAUCAAGCAAGGCUCGAUGUGCUUCUCUGCUGUGGAACAUUACAGGUUUAUCGUGGCUGCACAGCAUGUGAAUGAAACUGUUCCUCAGGGACACUCUCCUGUGAUAUAAUAAGCAAUGGGACAUUAAUGUAUAGUAUUCCAUGCAGGCUCUCUGUACCAAAUGUAUGGCCAGUACAUUUAUGUAUGAGCUGUAUUUGCCUAUGCUUUACUUUGUAUACUCCUCCAAGCAGAAGCAGAACUUAGGGCCACAGCCAUCUUAAUAUGAUGAAUGUGGACCACUUUCUGUAUUGGUAGCAAUUCAGGACACUGUGAUUACACACAAGAUACCCAAGAUGAUCACCAUUCUGUUAACCAGUUGGGCCAAUCCUAGCAAGUUCCUAUGCGCUUACAGUAAGCGAUUCCUCUAAUGCUUAUUAAGGGAAGAUGCCCAAGACCAUAGUAAGCUACAGUAAGUAUUAUGUGAACCCCCCUUUCUCAGAUAUGGGGGCUUUUUAUUAUUAGAUGGAAGGACUGAAUGUUGGGAACUCAGAAUACACUAUAUCAGUGAUCCCCCAACCAGUAGCUUGGGGGCAACAUGUUGCUCUCCAACCCCUUGGAUGUUGCUCUCAGUGCCCCCAAGCCAGGUAAUUAUUUUUGAAUUCCUGACUUGGUGGCAAGUUUUGGUUGAAUAAAAACAAGAUUUACUACCAAAUAAAGCCCCUGUAAGCUGAUAGUGUGCAUAUAGGCUGCCUAAUAGCCAAUCUUAGCCCUUAUUUGGCACCUCCAUGAACUUUUAUGAUGCUUGUGUUGCUUUCCAAGUUUUUUUACAUUUGACUUUGGCUCAUGGGUAGGAAAGGUUGGGGACCCCUGCACUAUAUUUUAUUAUUUACCAAAUAACUGCUGUGUACCUGUCAGGUCUGUGUGUACCUGUCAGGCCCCUACCCCCAAACACUAACAGGUUGUUAUUCAGGAAAUGCUUUGUAAUUUAUUUUGUAACAAAGUCUGUUUUUUGUGUUAUUUAAGAAUAAACUUUCUAAAUUGUUUGACCGUU